AAGCGAAACAGCCCGCCGGCCUGGGAAAGGGCGGCGGCUGUCGCCGGGGAUGGCGUCCCGGCCUGACGAGCGGCCGAAG
rnacentral:hammerhead_ribozyme from 1 species